UUUGAUCCUGGCUCAGAUUGAACGCUGGCGGCAUGCCUUACACAUGCAAGUCGAACGGCAGCGCGGGAGCAAUCCUGGCGGCGAGUGGCGAACGGGUGAGUAAUACAUCGGAACGUGCCCAAUCGUGGGGGAUAACGCAGCGAAAGCUGUGCUAAUACCGCAUACGAUCUACGGAUGAAAGCAGGGGAUCGCAAGACCUUGCGCGAAUGGAGCGGCCGAUGGCAGAUUAGGUAGUUGGUGAGGUAAAGGCUCACCAAGCCUUCGAUCUGUAGCUGGUCUGAGAGGACGACCAGCCACACUGGGACUGAGACACGGCCCAGACUCCUACGGGAGGCAGCAGUGGGGAAUUUUGGACAAUGGGCGAAAGCCUGAUCCAGCCAUGCCGCGUGCAGGAUGAAGGCCUUCGGGUUGUAAACUGCUUUUGUACGGAACGAAACGGCCUUUUCUAAUAAAGAGGGCUAAUGAC
rnacentral:rRNA from 1 species